ensembl:lncRNA
AUGCUAGUUUCCCUCAGUCUUUUGAAACAGGGAUCUCCACAAUUUGUUACACAGGCUAAUGUUUGCCCCAGAGCCAGGGACCUUUUUAAUUCAAUGCCUAGAUAUCAGAGUGACAAAAACUGGCAUCAAAAUUGGGUGUUCUCCCACUCUACUACAAUAGAAGUCAUUCUAAGAAUCAUGGCAGGCCAGAAUCUGAGAGGAGACAGCAGGUGCACAGGUGUGUGAGGGUCUGAGAGGGGAAAGGCACAAGUAGAAGGGAUUAAGAGAAAGGUGAUUAUGAAGAUGUGCCUGUGAAUAGCCAGGGAUAUGAUCACUGCCUCCCUGGUGAUCUCGUGAGUCACUGAAAUUAUAUUCCUAGGCUCUGAGAAACACACCAACUGGGCUACUUCCCUUUGCAUUAUCAGAGAAAUAGUGCCACAUGUAUCUUCCUUGUGUUUUGCAUAUAUUUUAUCGGACUUUAUUUUAUAGAGCUGUUUUAGGUUCGUAGCACAACUGAGCGGAAGAUACAGAAAUUUUCCAUAUUCUCCCUACCCCCACACAUGUACAGCCACUGACACUAUCAAUACCUCAUACGAGAGUGCUACAUGAAUUUGUUACAAUUGAUGAAAAAACACUGACACAUCAUUAUUACCCUAAGUCUGUGGUUUCUAUCAAGGUUCACUCUUGGUGUUGUGUCCUCUAUGGGUUUUGACAAAUGUAUAAUAAUAUGUAUCUACCAGUAUAGGAUCACACAGAGUAAUUUUCAUUGCCCUAAAAAUCCUCUAUUCUCCUCCUAUUCAUCUCGUCCCUGCAACUCCUGACAACCACUGAUCCUUUUGCUAUCUCCAUAGUUUUGCUGUUUCCAGGAUGUUCUAUAGGUGGAGUCAUACAGUAUAUAGUCUUUUCCGAUUUCCUUCUUUCAUUUAGUAAUAUGCGCUUAGAGUUCUUCCAUGACUUUUCAUUGCUUGAUGAUUUAUUUUUAGCAAUAAUGAAUAAACCCAUUAUAAACAACUGUUUGCAGGGUUUUGUUAGGAUGUAAGUUUUCAACUCCUUUGGGCAAGAAGCUUGUGGUUUAUUUUAUGGUGAAGUACAUUUGGUUUUCUAAGAAACUGUUAAACUGUCUUCCAACACAGUACUAUUUUGUCUUCCAACAAUGUACCGUUUUGUAUUCCAAUAGCAAUGAAUGGGGGUUUCUGUUCCACAUCUUCUUUGGCAUUUGUUCUUAUCAGUGUUCCAGAUUUUGGCCUUUCUGAUAGGUGUGUAGUGGUAUCUCAUUGUUGUUUUAAUUUGCAAUUUCCUAACCCCAUAAAAUGUUGAACAUCUUUCCAUAUGUUUAUUUGCCAUCUUCUUUGGUGAGGUGUCUGUUCAGGUCUUUGGGCCACUUUUUUUCCUGAUAUUAAAUUUAUUUAUUUUUUCUUCAACUUUUAAGUUCCAGGCUACAUGUGCAGGAUGUGCAGGUUUGUUACAUAGGUAAACAUGUGCCAUGGUGGUUUGCUGCACAGAUCAACCCAUCACCUAGGUGUUAAGACCCCAGCAUCCAUUAGCUAUUCUUCCUGAUACUUUCUCUCUCACCACUUGUAGAUUCUAGACAUUAGACCUUUUUCAGAAGGAUAAAUUGCAAAAAUUUUCUCCCACUCUUUAGGUUGCCUGUUGGCUCUGAUGAAAGUUUCUUUUGCUGUGCAGAAGCUCUUUGGUUUAAUUAGAUUAAUUUUAGCUUUUGUUGCAAUUGCUUUUGGUGACUUCGUCAUGAAAUCUUUGUCCGCACCUAUGUCCUAAAUAGUAUUGCCUAUAUUUUCUUCUAGGGUUUUUUAUAGUUUGGGGUUUUACAUUUAAGUCUUUAAUCCAUCUUGAGUUUAUUUUUGUAUAAGGUGUAAGGAACGGGUUCAGUUUCAAUUUUGUGCAUAUGGCUAGCCAGUUCUCCCAGUAUCAUCUAGUAAAUAGGGAAUGCUUUCACCAUUGUUUGUUUUUGUUAGGUUUGUGAAGAUCACAUGGUUAUAGAUAUGUGGUCUUAUUUCUGAGUUCUGCACCAUGGACUAUUUUUAAUAGGUUUUUGCAUUUUCUUCUUUUGAGUUGCAAAGAGUUGCCUGUAUAUUUUGGAUGCAAGUUCUUUAUUAGAUAGAUGUUUUGUGAAUAGUUUCUCCCCGACCUUUGUUUGUUUUCUCAUGCUCUUGACCAUGUUGUAUUUUUUAUGGUGUCUAAGAGCACACACAGUUAGGGAGAGAAAUAUAUGGAGGCAUUUCCAUUGGAUUAAAAGGUAUUAAGGUAAGAGCCCAAAAUGUGAAAAGAAGCAUUAAUUGUGGAAAUGUAGCCUAUCUGAUUAUGGGGAAAAUCCAGCAGUAGGGAUUAAGUGAUGAGAAAACAAAGUGUGUAUCUUCAGGAACAUACAACUUCACUUUAUAAUUACAAGCAUUUUUGUUCAUUGAAAUGCGUGUAAUGUUUUCUUCUUUCAGGUUAUAGUUACAAAUAAAUUUAUAUCUGAAGUCAUUUUAUUUAUUUUUAUAUAGAUAGUUAUUUACUGAUUUGUUGUGUUUAUUUUUGCUAAUGUAUGGAUUAACUGAUAAUUAAUUGGUAGAAAUCAGCAGUUAGGAGCAAAAAGAAUGCAUUAUUUUUUCAAUGUAAGCUCUGUGAGAAAAACAAAAAUGUUUCUGCAUCAAUUUAAUACGUUUGCUCAUCACUGUGGAACUUAUGUAGGUAUUUAUAUAUCAGUCUGGUCUUCGUAGAUACUCUUUUCCUCCUGUAGCCUGAACAUAUGCGAAACUAAGAGAAAUAUAAAUUUUUAUUUGUUUUUAGUUUUCUCCUAUACCUUGAAAUACUCUGACAAGACCGUAAGAGUUUCUAAAGCAAAAGUUUGUUUCUCUUUUAUUUAUGAAACUAUAUUGACACACAAUCUAUGAUUGAUAUUGAUUUCUUCUGAAGAUUGUAAGCAGGAAACCAGAGAGGUACCAUUGACUAACAAAUGUUAUUAUGAGUUUAAUUUUAUUUGAAAAGCAAAUGUUAAAAAAUUGUUUUGUUUCCUUAAAGUUCAUUGUGAAAAUAUUGGAGAAAGAUGUUAAACCUAGCUAGAGUUGCUGGGAGAAGAGAAAAGGUAUUUUAAUAAGAGUGACAAUAAGACAAUAACUAUUUUCAUUAUGAAAAAGAUUAACAAUAGGAAAAUGAAUACAAAUAAAUAAUUCAUGAAAAGGGAAGUAAAAAUGAAACACUUGAAAUAUUGCACGGAAAAUUAUAAAUUAACAAAAAGUCAAAUUUGUAUCUAUAUUAGGAAGGACAAAAGAAUUACAAUGUCCUACACUGAUAGAGUUUAUAUGUUUCUUUCUUUCUCUCUAUAUUACUGUAUUUUCCCUUGUUUGUGAAAUUAGCAUCUAUAUUAUUUAUAGCUGCAAAUAGAAUAACAAAUUUUAGGAAUUUUAAAAAGACACAUGUUAAAGCACUUCCAUUUUUCCUAUGAUUAUACUCAAUUAUGUAGCUCACAUUACUGAAUUGUACAUAAUAGGAGCAUGAACUCUGUUAUCUCAAUGUAUCACUUUUCAAAAGAGGUUACAAAAAUGUUUUAAUAAUUCAAAAUAUCCAGAGAUAUUUUAACAGUAUCUCAGACUAAAAAACAUAUUUCAGCACUAUGUCUUAAGAACACUUUUGUUUUAAUAGCAUUUUUCUAUUUUAGUCAUAAGUGGUCAAGAUUAGAUCUACCAUUCUACAAGAAAGUAUAUGUCCUGCAUCCUAUUCAUGAAUAAAAAGAGCAUAACCCAAUUUGAAUCUGGCUCCUCCUCCUCAUUAGAGUGUAAUCUUCAUAGGUAAUAAAGUCUUCUUGAUUGCAUUUCCUUACAUUAAAAUGAGAAUAGUAUGUAAUAUCUCAUGGGUGUCUUAUAAAGACUAUUAGAAUAAUUAAUUUAGAAUGAGGUAACCACGUGAAAAUGUCCUAUGUAGGAUUUGUCUCAGAAAUGAUAUCCAAAGAAUAGAAG